AUUGAACGCUGGCGGCAGGCCUAACACAUGCAAGUCGAGCGGAUGAAGGGAGCUUGCUCCUGGAUUCAGCGGCGGACGGGUGAGUAAUGCCUAGGAAUCUGCCUGGUAGUGGGGGAUAACGUCCGGAAACGGGCGCUAAUACCGCAUACGUCCUGAGGGAGAAAGUGGGGGAUCUUCGGACCUCACGCUAUCAGAUGAGCCUAGGUCGGAUUAGCUAGUUGGUGGGGUAAAGGCCUACCAAGGCGACGAUCCGUAACUGGUCUGAGAGGAUGAUCAGUCACACUGGAACUGAGACACGGUCCAGACUCCUACGGGAGGCAGCAGUGGGGAAUAUUGGAUAAUGGGCGAAAGCCUGAUCCAGCCAUGCCGCGUGUGUGAAGAAGGUCUUCGGAUUGUAAAGCACAUUAAGUUGGGAGGAAGGGCAGUAAGUUAAUACCUUGCUGUUUUGACGUUACCAACAGAAUAAGCACCGGCUAACUUCGUG
rnacentral:rRNA from 1 species